AUUGAACGCUGGCGGCAUGCUUUACACAUGCAAGUCGAACGGCAGCGCGGGCUUCGGCCUGGCGGCGAGUGGCGAACGGGUGAGUAAUGCAUCGGAACGUGCCCAGUAGUGGGGGAUAGCCCGGCGAAAGCCGGAUUAAUACCGCAUACGACCUGAGGGUGAAAGCGGGGGACCGAAAGGCCCGGCGCUAUUGGAGCGGCCGAUGUCGGAGUAGCUAGUUGGUGGGGUAAGGGCUUACUAAGGCGACGAUGGGUAGCUGGUCUGAGAGGGUGACGGGCCAGAGUGGGACUGAGGGACGGCCGAGAGGGCUACGGGAGGCAGCAGUGGGGAAUAUUGAAAAAUGGGAGGAAGGCUGAUGCAGGCACGCCGCGGGCGGGAUGGAGGCCUUCGGGGGGGAAACCGCUGGCGCCUGUGACGAAGCGUGAGGGACGGGAAUGGGUAAAGAAGCACCGGCUAAAUAAGUG
rnacentral:rRNA from 1 species